rnacentral:ncRNA from 1 species
AAAGACUUAGUCCUAACCUUAUCGUUAGUUUUUGCUAAACAUAUACAUGCAAGUAUCCGCGCCCCAGUGUAAAUGCCCUUAACACUCUUACUAAGAUAGAAGGAGCAGGCAUCAGGCGCACCCCCCCCCCCGUAGCCCAAGACGCCUUGCCCAGCCACACCCCCACGGGUAUUCAGCAGUAAUUAACAUUAAGCAAUAAGUGAAAACUUGACUUAGUUAUAGCAACCCUGCCCUCAGGGUCGGUAAAUCUUGUGCCAGCUACCGCGGUCACACAAGAGACCCAAAUUAACUGUCAACACGGCGUAAAGAGUGGUAUUUGUAUUACCUCUACAAUUAAAAUCAAAACGUAGUCAAGUUGUCAUAAGCUCACACUACCUCUAAAAUCACCCUACACGAUUUUAAGAUUUUUUCUUGGUAAACCAGACCUCCACGAAAGCUAGGGUACAAACUGGGAUUAGAUACCCCACUAUGCCUAGCCCUAAAUCUUGGUGUCUCACCCUACUAAGACACCCGCCUGAGAACUACGAGCACAAACGCUUAAAACUCUAAGGACUUGGCGGUGUCCCAAACCCACCUAGAGGAGCCUGUUCUGUAAUCGAUAACCCACGAUCCACCCAACCGAUCCUAGCCUAAAAUCAGCCUAUAUACCGCCGUCGCCAGCCCACCUCAUUUGAAAGGACAACAGUGAGCACAACAGCCCUAUCCCGCUAGCAAGACAGGUCAAGGUAUAGCUCAUGGAUCGGAAGUAAUGGGCUACAUUCUCUACCAAUAGAGAACACGAAAAGGGACAUGAAACUGGCCCUAGAAGGCGGAUUUAGAAGUAAAGAAGGACAAUAAAGCUUUCUUAAAAUUGGCCCUGGGACACGUACAUACCGCCCGUCACCCUCCUCACAAGCCCAACUUCACAAUACCUAAUACUCUACCGUAGGCUAAAGACGAGGU